UCUGUUAGACAAAAUGCACAGCUGGGUGCCAAACGGAUCCCCUGGUCAUGAACGGAGGCCGAGACCUACCAGAAGGAGCAAAGCUUGUCAGGCAAGACCUCAGAAUAAAACCGUGUCAUGCGACAAGUACCCUUGUGACAUCUCCUAAAUUGUUGCCAGUGUCUCCCUUGACUCCCAUGAAAAGUACACGCCAUCAUGGCGCUUCUGAUAGUGACCCGAGUUACUGCCCUGAUGACACAGACGGCUUCAUCAACAACGACAGGCCCUCCCAGUCAACAUUACCUCAUACGAUUGCCUGCUGCAGUUGUUCGAGAGAUGUCCAGCUUGCAGCCGAACAUGCAGCAUAGAGAAGACCUGCAAACGGGGCCCUCAUCAGCAUCAUGCAGACAUGCCCUCGCUGUGAGCAUACCUAUGAAUAUAACGGUCAGCCACAUGUUGGCAAGUGUCCAGCCAGCAACCUUCACCUCUCAGUGGCAACAGCUUUCACAGUAUAAUCAUUUGUACAAAUACAGAAGGUAACCCACUUCAUUACUUUGAUACAUUUGAUAGCCCAAUUAUAAAACAUAAUAUGUAAACUGACAUUAUUUGUUGCUUAUUUUCUACUUAUUAGGUGCAUAUAAUAAUAGCCGGAUCAACUCUAUUUCAAAGGAGAUGUUGUACUGCAUGAAGAAGCUCAUGCACUAUGACACAUCUCCUUUGCAUGGAGUUCAUCCGGCUGGUGGAAUGUUGUCCCACUCCUCAGCUUCCUCACACCAGAUACUGACAGUUUUUUUUUUUAAUCCACGCCCCAGCCCUUACUUUUUUUAAGAUACAGUAUCUGUGACCAACAGGUGCAUAUCUGUAUUCUCAGUCUUGCGCAAAUCCAUUAGAGCAUAAUUAAUUUACUGUAUUUCAGUUGGCUGAUUUCCUUUAUGAACUGUAACUCUGUAAAAUCUUUGAAACUGUCGCAUGUUGCGUUUAUAUUUGUGUUCAGUGUAUAUAUACAGUGCCUUUGGGAAGUAUUCAGACACCUUGACUGUUUCCAAUCUUGUUAGGUUACAGGCUUAUUUUAAAAUUGAUAGACACA